rnacentral:rRNA from 1 species
AGAGUUUGAUCAUGGCUCAGAACGAACGCUGGCGGCAGGCUUCAUACAUGCAAGUCGAGCGGAAAGGCCCCUUCGGGGGUACUCGAGCGGCGAACGGGUGAGUAACAGGUGGGUAAUCUGCCUUUCGGAGGGGGAUAACGGCUGGAAACGGCCGCUAAUACCCCGUACGGUUGUGAAGCUCUUGGGCUUUGCAAAGAAAGGGGCCUUUAAAGCCCCGCCGAAAGAUGAGCCCGCCCCCCAUUAGCUAGUUGGCGGGGUAAUGGCCCACCAAGGCUGUGAUGGGUAGCCGAGCUGAGAGGUCGAUCGGCCACACUGGAACUGAGACACGGUCCAGACACCUACGGGUGGCAGCAGUAGGGAAUAUUGCGCAAUGGGCGAAAGCCUGACGCAGCCAUGCCGCGUGGAUGAUGAAGGCCUUCGGGUCGUAAAGUCCUUUUCUGAGGGAAGAACUGCCGGGGGAGGAAAUGCCCUUGGCUUGACGGUACCUCAGGAAUAAGCAACGGCUAACUCCGUGCCAGCAGCCGCGGUAAUACGGAGGUUGCAAGCGUUGUUCGGAAUGACUGAGCGUAAAGGGAGCGCAGGCGGCCAAGUCAGUCUGAAGUGAAAGCCCGGGGCUUAACCCCGGAAUAGCUUUGGAUACUGCCUGGCUUGAGUGUGCGAUAGGAAAGCGGAAUUCCAGGUGUAGCGGUGAAAUGCGUAGAUAUCUGGAGGAACACCGGUGGCGAAAGCGGCUUUCUGGCGCAUAACUGACGCUGAGGCUCGAAAGCGUGGGGAGCGAACGGGAUUAGAUACCCCGGUAGUCCACGCCGUAAACGUUGUGCACUAGGUGUGGGAGGUAUCGACCCCUUCCGUGCCGAAGCUAACGCAUUAAGUGCACCGCCUGGGGAGUACGGUCGCAAGACUGAAACUCAAAGGAAUUGACGG